rnacentral:rRNA from 1 species
CGUGUCGUGAGAUGUUGGGUUAAGUCCCGCAACGAGCGCAACCCUUAUUACUAGUUGCCAGCAUUUAGUUGGGCACUCUAGUGAGACUGCCGGUGACAAACCGGAGGAAGGUGGGGAUGACGUCAAAUCAUCAUGCCCCUUAUGACCUGGGCUACACACGUGCUACAACGGCGUAUACAACGAGUUGCCAACCCGCGAGGGUGAGCUAAUCUCUUAAAGUACGUCUCAGUUCGGAUUGUAGGCUGCAACUCGCCUACAUGAAGUCGGAAUCGCUAGUAAUCGCGGAUCAGCACGCCGCGGUGAAUACGUUCCCGGGUCUUGUACACACCGCCCGUCACACCAUGAGAGUUUGUAACACCCAAAGCCGGUGGGGUAACCUUCGGGAGCCAGCCGUCUAAGGUGGGACAGAUGAUUAGGGU